rnacentral:rRNA from 1 species
GUAGUCUGCAACUCGACUAUAUGAAGCUGGAAUCGCUAGUAAUCGCGGAUCAGAAUGCCGCGGUGAAUACGUUCCCGGGUCUUGUACACACCGCCCGUCACACCAUGGGAGUUGGAAACGCCCGAAGCCGGUGACCCAACCUGAGAAGGAGGGAGCCGUCGAAGGCGGGUCUGAUGACUGGGGUGAAGUCGUAACAAGGUAAC